GUCGUAGGCGCCGAACUUGCCUCCCUCUAACCCCCACUCUGCAUAAACCUGGCAAAUCCAGCCCUACCUGGUGUUAUUAGGACCAGGCACCUGGGAACCAGAGGCUCAGAAAUGGAUAAGACUGCACUGAAGACAAACUCUGCCCCCACCCCAAGGUGAGCAGCAUGUCCCAGAUCAAGGCUCUCCUAGAGUUUGAGUCCUGGAGUGAAAAAAUGAGUAACAGCCACAUGCACAGCCAUUGAGGUUUUAGGAAUCAUUUUGUAUCACAGCAUAACUGUAAAUGUCCGUGAAAUCCUUCAUGGACAUGAAGACUGGGAAGUGGGUGCCUGUUGAACCAUAAAUGUCUGUCACUCUAUGUCCACACAACACCACUCAUGGAGGACUGCCACUGGAGGAUCUGGCUCAAGGAGGGGAGGGGCCCUCAUCUUAUUUCAUAUUAUCAGACUUCUACCACCAUUACUCCAUCGUACCCAGCCAGCCUGUGACUGGAUGAGCUGGCACACCAACUUCUCAUUUUGGGCUAAAAUGUAGAGACAUUUCAUGUGGAAAAAAGGGUACCCUCUUACACUGUUGGUGGGAAUGGAUAUUGGUGCAACCACUAUGAAGAAAAGUAUGGAGGUUCCUUAAAAAACUAAAUAUAGAGUUACCAUAUUAUCCAGCAGUCCCACUCCUGUGCCUGUAUACAGAAAAAACCGUAAUUGGAAAAGAUACAUGCACCCCAAUGUUCACUGCGUCACUGUUCACAAUAGUCAAGACAUGGAAGCAACCUAAAUGUCCAACGACAGAGGAGUGACUAAAGAAGAUGUGGUACAUAUAUAGAAUGGAAUAUUACUCAGCCAUUAAAAAAGAAUGAAACAAUGCCAUUUGCAGCAACAUGGAUGGACCAAGAGAUUAUCAUACUAAGUGAAGGAAAUCAGAGAAAGACCAGUAUCAUAUGAGAUCACUUAUAUGUGGACUCCAAUAAAAGAUGAUACAAAAGAAUUUAUUUAUAAAACAAAAACUCACAGAUUUCAAAAUUAAACUUAUGGCUACCAAAGGACAAAGAUGGGAGGAGGAUCACUUAGGAGGUUGGGAUUAACAUAUAUACACUACUAUGUCUAGGAUAAUCAACAAGGACUUACUAUAUAGCACAGGGAAAUCUACUCAAUAUUCUUUAAUAACCUAUAUAGGAAAAUAAUCUGAAAAAGAAUGGAUGUAUGCACAUAUAUAACUGAAUCACUGCUGUAUGCCUAAAAUUAACACUGUAACUCAACUAUAUUCCAAUAAUUUUUUUUCUAAUUGAGACCCUUGAGACAGUCCAAUUGAAGAGGGGAGAGUUCAGCUGAAAGGAAUAGUCAGGGCCUUUGUCCUAGUCUGUUCAGGCAACUGUAACAAAAUACCAGGAUGGGAGUUUAUAAAUGACAGAAAUAUAUUUCUCGCAGUUCUGGAGGUCAGAAGUCCAAGAUCACAGUGCCAGCAUGGUUCUGUUCUGAUGAGGGCCCUCUUCCAGCCUCAGAUCUCUUAUUGUGUCCUCACCUGGCGGAAGUGGCUCAGGAGCUCUGCAAGGUCUCUGUUGUAAGAGUACUAAUCCCUGGAGCUCCUGCUGUGGUGCAGCAGGUUAAGGAUCCAGCGUUGCCACAGCUGCAGCUCAGAUUUGCACUCUGGCCUGGAGAACUUCCAUAUGCUGCAGGCGUGCCCCCCCCCCCAAAAAAAAGAGAGCACUAAUCCCACCCUCAUGAACUAAACACCUCCCAAAGACCCCACCUCCUGAUACCAUCACA
rnacentral:lncRNA from 1 species